GCCGGGCGUGGUGACUCACGCCUGUAAUCCCAGCACUUUGGGAGGCUGAGGUGGGUGGAUCACCUGAGGUCAGGAGUUUGAGACCAGCCUGGCCAACAUGGUGAAAUCCCAUCUUUA
rnacentral:SRP_RNA from 1 species